CAGCUGCGCCAUGUGAUUUUACUUCUUUGUCAAUUCGUGAAUUACAUUGAGGUGAUCCGGUUACCUAUAUACUACCCCUCAGAUCAAGAAAAGGAUGAUCCAAAACUUUAUGCACAUAAUAUACGGAAAUUAAUGGCGUGUGAGGGUAAUCUAAUACUCUCAGAUAUUGGGCUAGCCGAGAAGCGAGUCUACCAUGCUGCGCUAAAUGAUUUCCUCCAAAGCUAAACUUGGAUGCUUGGGACCUGUAAAUACUCUUUAAAGGCUGUUUUCUCUUGUUUGAUACAAAUUCUUUCAUCGACCUUUUUU